UGAGGGCAGCGCGCAGAGCUUCCCUAGCUGCCCAUGUGCCUAGGGACCGCAGAGACAUGCUGGCCGCUUUCAGGAGCUGGCUGAGCAGCUGCUGUAGUG